rnacentral:rRNA from 1 species
UACGUAGGGGCUAAGCGUUGUCCGGAUUUAUUGGGCGUAAAGAGCUCGUAGGCGGUUGGGUAAGUCGGGUGUGAAAACUCCAGGCUCAACUUGGAGAUGCCACCCGAUACUGCUCUGACUUGAGUUCGGUAGGGGAGUGGGGAAUUCCUGGUGUAGCGGUGAAAUGCGCAGGAUAUCAGGAGGAACACCGGUGGCGAAGGCGCACUCUGGGCCGAAACUGACGCUGAAGCGCGACAGCGUGGGGAGCAAACGGG